rnacentral:rRNA from 1 species
GUGGGGAAUCUUAGACAAUGGGCGCAAGCCUGAUCUAGCCAUGCCGCGUGAGCGAUGAAGGCCUUAGGGUUGUAAAGCUCUUUCAGUGGGGAAGAUAAUGACUGUACCCACAGAAGAAGCCCCGGCUAACUCCGUGCCAGCAGCCGCGGUAAUACGGAGGGGGCUAGCGUUGUUCGGAAUUACUGGGCGUAAAGCGCACGUAGGCGGACUGGAAAGUCAGGGGUGAAAUCCCGGGGCUCAACCCCGGAACUGCCUUAGAAACUCCCAGUCUUGAGGUCGAGAGAGGUGAGUGGAAUUCCGAGUGUAGAGGUGAAAUUCGUAGAUAUUCGGAGGAACACCAGUGGCGAAGGCGGCUCACUGGCUCGAUACUGACGCUGAGGUGCGAAAGCGUGGGGAGCAAACAGGAUUAGAAACCCUAGUAGUCC